UAUAGUGACGGUCAGCGAGCGGCCAGUCAUUCACACCCCGGCUCGCCCCGACAGCGAACACACACCAUGAGGACCCUCUCUCUGAUCGUGCUGCUCUGUGCCCUGGUGGCCGCCGCCCUGGCUGCCCCCGGUGGAGGCUAUGGCUACGGAGGUCACCGCGGAGGCUACGGAGGUCACCGCGGAGGUUACGGAGGUCACCGCGGAGGCUACGGAGGUCACCGCGGAGGCUACGGAGGUCACCGCGGAGGCUACGGAGGUUACCGUGGAGGCUACGGAGGUCACCGUGGAGGCUACGGAGGUCACCGCGGAGGCUACGGAGGUCACCGUGGAGGCUUCGGAGGUCACCGUGGAGGCUACGGAGGUCACCGUGGAGGCUACGGAGGUCACCGCGGAGGCUACGGACACGGCGGAUACGGUGGUGGAUACGGCGGUGGAUACGGCGGUGGACACGGCGGAUACGGCGGUGGAUACGGCGGUGGACACGGUGGAUACGGCGGAUAUGGCGGAUACCGCGGCUGAAAAAUAGUAGCUAUGUCAGCACGAUGUAAGGUGGUCUGCGUAAUUCAUAUGUGCAUUUUGCUACUCAUGCAACUGUCCAAAACUUACUCCGGAACGCAUUUUGACAGCGUCGCCUUCACCCAUUCUAAUUUAUUUAAGCACUUGUCGAUAUGUGAUACAUAACAUACCUAUACCCGUUGAACGCUAAAAUACAACAAAAACAUUUA